UUUUUCCAAUUUCGGAUAUAAGCCUGCAGAGUCAGGUGUUGUAAUUUUGAAUUCCUUUCACGGAUUUGCCAUUCUGGUUAAAUACCAGGUGCAGCCCCAUUGUAUGUUAUGCAGGGGUGUAAGAAUCCAGGAUAGAGCUCUCUGUUCCUCACCAGCUGUCAGAGGGACCUGUGUCAGUGACUGCCAGUAACAGCAAGUGAAUGCAUAAAUAGAAACCAUGGGGAUGGCUGGGGCAGAGCAGGUGAAGUUCCUGUAAAGUCUAAAAGGAAAGUGAAAGGUAGUCACAACUGCAAUGACCAGUGCUUGAAGUAAAGAGAAAGGAAGGCAUGAAAAAGAGAAGGGCUGCCGUUUGGGUGUGAAAGGCACCAAGAGCUCAACUUGGGAAGGAGAGGAAGGCUCGAAUCAGCUGUGGCAGAACCAUGAGUCUCCUGGCAUUAAUAAGAGUUGCAAGCAGUAGAUUUCCACACAGAUGUCCUUCUUGUCCCAUUUUUACAGUUUCUUGUUGAUGUAGGUUUGUAGGUGUACAAUAAAUUUGCACCUGUCUGUGCAUCGACAUUGGUGGCUAUGCUACACCAAGGCAUUCAGCAGUCUACAACCACCUCAGACUAAAGCAUCUUGACUUUCUAUAACUGGAAUAGACCACACGGAUUAUUUUCAUUUGAGAAGCCCUGUUAGCAGUGUAUAUACCUACAAAGAUGGUGAGCUUCUUCCCCUGCAUACAUGCUGUGUUAGCUACUGAUAUCUCUGUCCCUGAUUAUUUCAGUUCCUUAUGUUUUUGGAGUUUAAUGCUGUCUCCUGGAACAUAGUGCUCUGUUCUUUACAAAACUCUUCUCUGAGGCUUGCACACACAGACAUGGCAAGUGGCUUUUAAAAGUAGCAGUGUGAUCUGCAGCAUAUAUCAUAAGGCAGAAAAGAAGCCUAAAAAGCAUAUUGAGAGACAGAUGCUACCCCAGAUAUCAAAGUUUUUAUUUCUGGAUACUAGCUUUUCAUCUGUGAAACUUGUGCUUUGGUCUGAAUGCUUUUGCUGCUCUCUAAGCAAUAUAACUAAUUGUACCAUUUAAUUUAGAGGAUGUGAGGAAAGUCAUCUUGUCUAUCUGUAUAAACUUGAAGGGAUCAUCUUCUAUUAAGUGUGUAUUCAAGCCUUAUGUAUAUUUAUAUUCACUCAGGCUACAGGAUUAUCUAGAGGCAACAGCUAGACAGAUCCACAUGCUUAUAUCAUCUUUAUUCUAGUAGUUGUUCUAUAGUCAGAAGUGUCUGGUGAAAUCCAUACAACAUUCUUCACGUUUUGAUGUGUAAAACUAUAAAGCAGACGUUAAAAAUAUGUAUUUGUAAUUUGAUGACUUUAAUUUAAAAUACAAUUUAAGAAACUGGAAGCUGAUGCUUGACUGGCUAGAAUGUGAAUUAACAGCUCCAAAAUGAAAUUAAGCAGAACCAAGAAUGUAUGUGUUACCUCCUAGUACUUAAAGAAAUAAGCAGCAGCAUACAGUUGACUAAGGUUGUGUUCUCUAAAAUAAUAAUAAUAAUGCACAUCAUUAGGUUUUCCCACUCUUCCACUUCUGGAAACCUAUGCCAUUUUUUUGGAAUACAAACUGUCCAACUGUUUUGUAGCAUGUUUCUAUUUGGGCACUUGGCAGUCAAGGUAUGUGAAUUAAGAAACGCUCUUGAGAAUUAAACAUUCUCCUGAACAGUGCCUAUCAGAACUUGUUCUUGCUAUCAGACGUGGCAGACAGCAUUUGCCCAACGAGUGAAACACUGCAUUGCAGAUAAAGGGAAAUGGCAAGCCAAGAUUCUAUGUGCAUCUAAUGAUAAUCGCAGGAGUGACUUACAAAUCGUACCACGCAUCAAAGUUCUUAUGGAAAUAACUGCAGGAUGACAAAUCUAAUAGCCCUCCUCUCUUUUUUUUAAGUGUGUUUGGAUUCUGAAAGGAUUUCUGCCCUUAAACAGCACCGUGCCUUUUAAAACCACACAUCAGGUGAAUUUUUCUGUAUUGACUCACUAUUUAUUGUUCUUCCAACAGUGUUUUGUGAAGCUGAGAGCUACGUAUCACGUAAGCAUCUUCAAUUGAGUUGCAUAAUUUCAGCCAUUAUGAGUUAUGCACAGCAAAAACAGGAUAAUACAGUGAGAAAAGCUGUGCUUUUACUGCAGGCCACUUUUUCGGAGUUCCUCUUCCAGACAUAGCACAAUGAGAAAUCAUCUUUUAUUUUCUCAGUGCACUCUCCCAUUUUUCAUUCCAUUAGCAUUUUUCUCCAAUGCUUUUUUUUUCCUGCUGCAGUUCAUCUAGGAAGAGUUCCUCUCUUUUUCCUUCCAUUCCUUUUAUUUUAUUAACUGUUUCACUUGCCUAUUUUUUGAGGAUUGUAAAUACACAUAAAUAUGCGUUCUGUCUUGCAUCUCCUUAUUUUAUAUGCCUUUCACUUGGGGUUCAACCUACAUCUUCUCCUUAUGUUCCCAAGCUUCAAAUCAUAUAAAGCACAGAGAAAAACAAAUAAAAAAAAAAAAAAAAAAAAACAGUUCAUAUAUGUUAAUUUCUUUGGUGUAAGGUAGAAAGUGAUAAGAUGCAUGUGAACCCACCAGUGUGCCCGGCUCAUCACGAAAACAGCGAGUUCAACCGAGAUUUCUUCCAGUUACCACCAAGACACUGAAAACUAAGAAGGUGGAGAGAUGCUGGCAGAUCUACUGUCAUGGAUCCAAGCGCCGUACUAUCAUCACGAUGAGUCACAGUAUCGUAACGCGGAGAUGCCAGGAGCUAACCACACUAUAUCUGGAUAACUCAGUUCUGAAAAGGAUGAGUGACAAAAGCAGUUAUAAUGACACUUCUUCCCUAUAGUUGGAAGCAGGAGGUAAUUCCCUCUGUCUUGUUCCUUUUUUUCAGUGAGGCCUGUUGACAACCCUAUACGAUGGCUUUUUCGUAUAGCUAGGUCGCAAGGCAGUCUAAUUAUUCCUUAGGACUAUAAUCAAGUGCUGCAGCUAUCUUCAGGGAAUUUGUUCAGUGGAUUUCUUGCUGCUAUUCCAGAUGGCACCUUGGGAACUCGGAGCUGAGUUGGCUGCUGCUAUGUCCUCUUACAUCUUACGGUCAGGAUGGUGUAUGGGUGUGCUUCUGUUAGGGAAUAACUAACCCCCCCUUCGCUGGUUAUAGAAAGUGUAGAGUAGGCUGAUUAUAGAGUUUAGAGUAGACAUCCAACUUUUAUGUAGCUGGAGUUGUGAGAUGAGUAACCAUAAAUGUUACUGUUAUGGUAACAAAUGUUACGGGUCUUAAUAAUUUAGGCAGAUGUUACAUAGCAAGUCCCAAUGCUACUGGACAGUCUCACAUACCUA